rnacentral:rRNA from 1 species
UACGUAGGGGCCGAGCGUUGUCCGGAUUUAUUGGGCGUAAAGAGCGUGUAGGCGGCCAGGUAGGUCCGUUGUGAAAACUCGAGGCUCAACUUCGAGACGUCGAUGGAAACCAUCUGGCUAGAGUCCGGAAGAGGAGAGUGGAAUUCCUGGUGUAGCGGUGAAAUGCGCAGAUAUCAGGAAGAACACCUAUGGCGAAGGCAGCUCUCUGGGACGGUACUGACGCUGAGACGCGAAAGCGUGGGGAGCGAACAGG